UCCUGGAAUAUGUCCAAU
rnacentral:snRNA from 1 species